AUACGGAGGGUGCAAGCGUUAAUCGGAAUUACUGGGCGUAAAGCGCGCGUAGGCGGUUUAGUAAGUCGGAUGUGAAAGCCCUGGGCUCAACCUGGGAAUUGCAUUCGAUACUGCUUGACUAGAGUAUGGUAGAGGGAAGUGGAAUUUCCGGUGUAGCGGUGAAAUGCGUAGAUAUCGGAAGGAACACCAGUGGCGAAGGCGACUUCCUGGGCCAAUACUGACGCUGAGGUGCGAAAGCGUGGGGAGCAAACAGGAUUAGAAACCCGAGUAGUCC
rnacentral:rRNA from 1 species